UGGCUCUCGCAUCGAUGAAGAACGCAGCGAAAUGUGAUAAGUAAUGUGAAUUGCAGAAUUCAGUGAAUCAUCGAAUCUUUGAACGCACCUUGCACUCUUUGGUAUUCCGAAGAGUAUGUCUGUUUGAGUGUCAUGAACUCUUCAACCCACCAGUUUCUUGUUAGACUGUGUGGUGUUUGGAUUUUGAGUGUUGCUGGUCUUCGGACGAAGCUCAUUCGUAAUACAUUAGCAUCUCAAUUUCGAUAUUCGGAUUGACUCAGCGUGAUAGACUAUUCGCUGAGGACACUUUUAGUGGCCGAAUUUGAAGUAGAAGCUCAUAGCUAGAUCUUAGUCACCUUUGAUUUAGACCUCAAAUCAGAUAGGAUUACCCGCUGA
rnacentral:misc_RNA from 1 species